AUGGAACUCAACUCAUAAUCAAAGGUAUUUAUCUUAUUUUAUUCUUUAAUUCCAUCUAAUAGAAUGAGGUUGAAUACAGACUUGCAGUGAAACAUUGCAUAACAUUCAGGAUAUUUUACAGCAAUAUAUAUACAACAAUAAAGAAGGGUUUAACUUCAGAAGGUUGAAAUGUAUUCACCUAACACAAUGUUCUGUGAUCUCCUUAGUUUUUCGCAAAAAAACUAAACUAAAGAGCUCUGAGCUGGCCAGGAUACCUUCGUUAUAUUAAAUAUUACUAUUAAAACCACAGAUUCCCAGCCAACAAACAUUACUAUUUUGCUAUCUGGGGAAGUGGGUAUAUAUAAAAUAUUAUAUCAUUACAAAAAUACAUAUUGAAUGUGUUAUAUCUAUUACAUUGAAGAUAAUAAUAUUUAGUAAAUCAUUGAAACAAUAUGAAAAGAAAAUUAGAUCUCCAGGUUUUGCCGAAUUAUAUGUAAAUUUAGAUACACUUGGUUCUCAGAAUAAAGACACUCCUUCUAGGGAAAUCACUCAAAAAAUAAAAGACUAUCAAUAAAGCAUUAAUAAAUAGAGCUAACUAUAUGUUGGAUGGGUUAAAAAGGAAAUAGUAUUACAGGGCUAAUAGACCUGACAGACUCCUGUCUAAUAAGCUUUUGAGGAAUUUUAUAAAUCCUUUUAUAACCUACCAUUUUCUCCAUCUGCAAAUACUAUCAAUGAUUUUCUAAAAAAUAUAUAAUUUUCAAAAGAUAUCAAUUAAGCUUAUUGAAAACUAUUAAAGAAGAAGAGAUUAACAGAGUGAUUGAUAAACUAUGAAUGGCAAGUCCCCUGGUUCAGAUGGAUUUACUAAUAGAUUUUAUAUAUUAAUUAGAGACAAUAUUAAUUUUUUUUUAAGAAAUCUAUUGAAUGUAUUCAGUGACUUUGGUACGAAGAAAUUGAUUCCAAGACAAAUGUUACAAUAUAGUUCUUAUCUUGAAACAGGAUAAAUACAGUCUUAAUGCUGCUAAUUAUCAUCCACUAGCUUUGCAAAAUGUAGAUAUGAAACUAUAUUCUUCAAUCUUUACUGCUAAAAUAACCCCUUAAAGAUCGGACUGUUUUGGCCAUGUUGUACAUUAAGGACCAGAGCUGUUUAACACUUUUGUGGUGUUUGUGCUUAGCUGUAAUUUUCCUCUCUCUCAUUUACUGUUCCCAUACAAAUAAUAUAUUGUGUUUUUUUAGGACAAGAAGGGCUUUCUUUUUAUACCAUUAUUUGUAUGAUGUCAUAUAAUUUGCUUUAAAAAAAAAAAAAGUAUGGUGAAAAAUUGAAAAAAAAAACAAUUUUUUUUACUUUUACUUUUACAAAUCUUUUAUUUAUCUUUUAUGUUUUUAAAUAGAUUAAACGUUUUGUCCUGAGUUUAAAAACACAGAGUUUUUGCUGUUUCAAAAUAUACAUUUUUAAAUGUAUCAAUAGUGACAUUGUAACACUGUUAUCUGUCAUAAAUCUCCGAAUCACACCUCACAUGUACAUCAUUUUAUGUACCCAGGGUAUUCAAAGUUAGCAUUUAUAUUUGUUUGUGUGUUAAAAAUGCAAAAAACAAUUAUGGUAUGCAAUCAUGGGGGCUACUAAAAAAGACUGAACAUACCCCAUUUGCAAUACCUUGGGUUGUCUACUAUUGCAAAUGGUAUGCCAUCAUGGGGUAAUUCUCAUUCCUGCGCUACCAUACGCUCUCAAAGGCAACAUAACCAACCUGGAAAAUUUCAAUGUAAAAAAAUAGAAAAUCAAGUCUAUAUUUGACCCUGUAACUUUCAAAAACACUAUAAAACCUGUACAGUAAAACGUAUCACAACAAUAAUAUCAUAAUUGAAAGUGCCUUUUGAAAAAUGCAAAAAACAUAAUUUUUACUGACAAUAUCAUCGCUGCGAUAUGCUUUACUGUUUUGAAACACUAAUAUUUGUGUUCAGCAAAGUCUCCAGAGUAAAAUAGUACCCCCCAAUGUACAGGUUUUAGGGUGUCAUAGAAAGUUACAGGGUUAAAUACAGUGCUAGCAAAUCACAUUCUCUGGACUUUCGGCCUGGGUUGUCAGGCAGGGCCCUCAAAUUGCAAUCAAUAAAAUUACUUAAUUAUGAAAAAUAUUACAUAAAUAUGCAUGUAGAAUAUAAAUAUAUACAUAUUUACAUAUGUUAAGUCUAUUAUUUAUGUAAUUUUGUAUAUGGAUAUAUAUAUAUGUUGGAAGGCCAUUUGGCCUGAAUUUGUGGGAGGAGUUAUGACCCUUUAUAAACCCUACCCCCCUACUUACCUUUGCAGUUCAAGCUGCUUUGACUUCCAUAGUUACCUGCAUUUCCGGUCCAUUGUUCCUUCCGAGUCUUGCCUCCUUUGGGCUCGUUCACCGGCUGCCCCGCGGUAUAUCCUACUCAUUACCUGGCUAUCGGGCUUCCGGUCACGACACCGGCUUGCACACGUAAGCAUCAACGUGGGAAAUAGCGUUCGGCUAUAUCCCACAUUCAGGCCUAAAACUGUGGGGAUAGGCUUCCUAGAUAUAUAUAUUACUUACCUGUUUGUGUAAUUCCGCCGUUCGUGUACUUCUGCGUUCGUGCGGCUUUUUAGCCGACCGCAGAGUACACACACUUUUGUUCUUCUUUUGUUAAAAUAUUUUACCGAAUGCUUAUACUCACCUUACAUUUGCCUGUUUCUCUCUUUCGUUAGACAAAACACAUGGCUUUGUUACUAGUAUUUCAUUUUUAAAAAAUCUAUCACAUGUUGUCCUAUUAUAUUCCUCUUGCAUGUUCGUUAGCCGAACGCAUGAGGUUUUAAGCAUUUUAAUAUUUAAGUAUGUUCCUCUAUGUAUUAAUUUAUAAUAUAUGUUCACGGUUCUCCCUACGUUUUCCCUUAGUCUAAAUGGCAUUAUUCGCCACUCGUUACUAGUAUUUCAUUUUUAAAAAAAUCUAUCACAUGUGGUCCUAUUAUAUUCCUCUUGCACGUUCGUUAGCCGAACGCAUGAGGUUUUAAGCAUUUUAAUAUUUAAGUAUGUUCCUCUAUGUAUUAAUUUAUAAUAUAUGUUCACGGUUCUCCCUACGUUUUCCCUUAGUCUAAAUGGCAUUAUUCGCCACUCGUUACUAGUAUUUCAUUUUUAAAAAAAUCUAUCACAUGUGGUCCUAUUAUAUUCCUCUUGCACGUUCGUUAGCCGAACGCAUGAGGUUUUAAGCAUUUUAAUAUUUAAGUAUGUUCCUCUAUGUAUUAAUUUAUAAUAUAUGUUCACGGUUCUCGAUACGUUUUCCCUUAGUCUAAAUGGCAUUAUUCGCCACUCGUUGCCACAAUUAAUUAUGCAUAUAUUCAGUUAACCCCUUUACGGUUUGUUUUUUCCUCUCUCAAUGGUCUGAGCCCCAUCAAAUCUCUUAAAUUUAUCAAGCUCCACGCUCACUUUUUUCAGUAGCUCUUAUUUCUAAAUCUCUGUUUAUAUUGAAACACUAUACUCAGGCUCCUUAUUCUUACUAAAUGAAAAAUGUUUUAGGUUGUACUACUGUUUCUUCAAGAAGAUAGGAGGUGGUUCCAGUAUCCUGUGUCACUGUAUCAGUUAAAAAAGGUUAAAAUUUUACGUUUCUCCUGAGGCCUCAUUUCAGCCUCCACAGCCUUUUUUACAAUACCCUCCCACCUCCCAAAGUGGGCUAAAAAAUGUAAACACACCAGGUUUAAAGAUGCCUUACUCUCCAUGUUACUAUUAUAUUAAGUGUUAAUUCUGUUUUAAUUUCUACAUAUCAUUACUUAGUCUCCCAAGACAUCCUAGAAAAUUGAGCAAAUAACUACGGGGACAUUUCAGUUGUAUUAAGAGCUAGAGACCCACGUUUGAAUAAAAAACUCACCAUCCCACAAUUUGUUAUCACAUUUGGCACUUAUUGCAACAGUGUACCCACAUAGGAGAGAAGAGCUUGAUUUAUGCACAAGAUGGUGUAUCUGGGCAUCAAGUAUGGAGGGUCCUCAUGCGUUGGCCGGGAAUCAAACCCGGGUCAACUGCUUGGAAGGCAGCUAUGCUCACCACUAUACCACCAACACUUGAUGUUUUCUAGUUCGAUUGGUGUCAGAUAGAUACUGAGUUAUUCUGCCGUCAUUUCGCUGGUUUGAGGCCCCCAUCUUGUGCCUCUUGUGGUUCCACUUCACACUCCACUGAUCUAUGCCCUGGGGACGCAGACCCUUCCACUUCCUUACCCCACCACACCCUCACCCCACUCCCAAGACAGGAAGGUGUCCAGAGAGACAAGCUGGGCAGACCCAUCACAUUCUUGGGUAAGGCGCAGGUGUGCAAUAACUUUAACACAGGCAUAUGCAGCUACAGCACAUGCAGGUUGUUGCACAUCUGCUCCAUAUGCUUCAGAGCCCACACCAAGACCAUGUGCCGAACCGUCUGACACCUAACAAAUAAGAUGGUUCAUCAAGCAUCAAAUCAUAUGACAACACCACGUCCAGACCAUGUCCCAUCCCGUUCACAACCUAACCCUGUAGGAUAUGAAUAUCCAUUUUGCUCUAUAUCCUAACUGUUCAUGUAAGGGUUAAUUUGAAUCAAGAAUAAAUUUGGAAUUGUAUCUCCAAUUCUCAGAAAUGUUAUUGAAGCAUGAUUUUGUCAUGUUCCUGGAAAGAAGAUAUUUGCGUGACAUGACAUGACAUGACAUGACAUGGCGUGACAUGACAUGGAGUGACAUGACAUGACAUGACAUGAUAAGGAUUCUGGAAUGACCUUGUUAAUUGUCCAAGAUUUCUGUAUUUGUAAUCAUCUGGGUUUUAUCCAAUAUGCAUACAUUAUGUAACAUCGAAUUAUAACUGAAAACAACUUGUGAAAAAUAAACUAUGUCACAAUGCUUAAUGACCCCCACCGACAUGAAAAUGGGGUAUAAGUAUAACUGAUGUAUCAAUUAAAAUUUGAAUUGGUUAUAGAACACAUCUCUUGUCUUCUUGACUGAUUCCCAGGAUCCUGUCUGAUAAAGAGGGUGCAGCUCCGGCAAAAUAUCCAAACUAUCCCCUACAAAUUGGUGUCAGAAGUUUUUGGGGUGCAUUUGUGAACGGAACGAAAGAGAUCAGGUAAGAGAAUUGGGUGUCUUUUUCACCUUUGUUCUUUUACUUUUCUUUUUCCAUCCUUCAUACAUUGCAUAACUACGUUUUUAUUGAAAGGGGAUUUAAGAUUUUAUAAGGUCUCCUUGGGUAGGAGUAAAGCCUUACUUGUCUAUGGGAGACGUCCCUAGACCCCUCUUUGGUAGAGGUUACCUUUGGUAGGUUGUAAAACAGAUUUCCAGUCUUUGGUGGACUUUGGUAUUGAUUUAACUUGGUUGUUAGUUUGUUAAAAAAAAAAAAAAGGAACAGAAUUGUUAACUCUGUACUUGAUGGGUAUUUUGGCUGUCCUGCAACUUUUUUUUGCAUGCAAUAUAUUUGGUGGCUUUUUAUAUAAUUGUGCAAGGAAUUGGAAUUUCUGGUUUUAAGCGAUACUGCUCGUGGAGAAGUAACAGUUUUGUGGGAACUUUUGAUUCCAGACAGCUGUUCUUUAACCACUGAAUAAUCAGCUAUUCCAAAUCCGAUUCUUAUUGAGUUUGAAAUGGGUACUUCCCAGUCUAAAAAAUACCCUCGCCCUAAUCCAGGGGAGACUUGCAAGCAGUAUGUUGCUAGAGUUGGUGAACUGGGGGAUUAUUUAGUGGAUCCUUGGGUGGACAAUUUGUCAGGGUGGACACAAGGACAGGGCAGUGAAACUCCCUUCCCUAAAGACGGGGCUAAUGAUGAUUAUUUUCUGAGUAUGGUUAAGGGAUUAUGUUUGGAAGAUAAGAAAUCUUUUCCUUGGUAUGAGGGAGAUCCAGAAUGGGACAAAGAAUACAUGAGACAGGGGGGUGAGAAUUGGCUUAAGGUUGCACCUCACUGGUACCCUGUUUCCCAAGAGGGGAAAAGGAUAAAAAAGAAUAAAAAGAAUAAAAAGAAAAUUAAAGAAACUGUUGUUAAUACCUGCAAAUCACAGCCUCCUCCUAAUUACACCCCAUACUUUAGCCCACUAUAUCCUAACCUAUCACCUAAAAAUGACGAUGAUUUAGUUCUUGCUGUAGCAGUUGGAUCACAAAGAAUAGCCACUGCUCCAUCAAGUUCCCUUUCUCCCCAAGAUGAGAAGGUUAAACAAAUUCAGCGAAGGUCCCCUAAGGGUAUCCAGACUAGGUAUAAGAAAAAGAUGGGGCUGGGUGUAAAAAGAACAGAUAAAGAUGAUGGAGAGGAGGAAGGGGAAGAAGAAUUUGAUGAAUUAGACACACAACAGACAUAUCCUUUUCUGACUGUUGGAGAUCAAUUAAUUUUGAAACCUUUAACUCCAGGAGAAUUGAAGGACAUAAUUAAAGGAGCUCCAAAUCCUAGAACGAAUCCUUCUGCAUGUAUUAUGUACUUGAAGAGAAUGUGCCAAGGACAGAAUAUGACACAGAUUGACAUAAAGUUAAUUAUUGAUGGACUAUUAGAUUAUGACUCAGAAUCUGGGUGGGAAUGGAAUAGAGUAACCACUGUCAGUGUUCCACUUGAUGGAACCACAGUGAGUACUUAUCCAUUAGCCACGGAAAAAGGGAGAGACAUUAUGUGGGAUGAAGUAAAAACAGAGAUGAUGAGAUUAUGGAAAGACAAGCAGUCUAUCUCCACUGCUUUGUCCUGUAAACAGGGCACAAAGGAGACAGUGACAGAAUUCACUAAAAGGUUUUAUAAAUGUUGGAAAGAUGAAGCUGGACUUGGUUCAGAGGAAAGUGGUAUGGGUUCUUUAAAAAUACAGACUUGCAUUGGGAAUAUGCUUCCAGCAUAUUCACUGCUAGUUAAACAGCUGAUUUCAGAGUGGUCAACUUUAACUCCAGUUAAAUUCUUGCAGAAAAUACAUGAGAGAGAAGCAGCAGGUUGUUUUGCUAUUGGUAAAGAUGGAAAGAGUAUGUUGUAUCAGUCACAGGGUUUACAGCAUUGUGAUCCUAAUCGUGCAAGACAGAGAGAUUUUGGAGGUGAUAGGAGAUUAAACCAAAGAGGAUUUAGGGGUCCAGGGGGAAGAGGACGUGGAGGAAAUAGGUCCCAACCAUUUACUAAUAGAAGGACAUAUUGUUUUAACUGUGGAAGGCAGGGACACUGGAUGAAUGAGUGCCCCAACCCUAUCAGACAAAAGACUGGACAGGCUGAACAGACCCCAGGUCGCCCAUGGAUACCCCAACAGCCCCACUACCCCCCCACAGCAUCGCUCUCCUGCCCCUAAUACCCCCUCUGGCCCUAAAACUUCAUCUGGCCCUACCCAUCACAUUCAAUGGCCAUAGGGCUGCCCAGAAGGUAACACCCCAGCUUUUCCUGUAUUGUCCUCUAAUUUUAUGGAACAACCCUUUAUAGUCCUCAAUGUAAAUGGGAGGGACAUGCCCUUUAUUGUAGACACGGGUGCAACCUGUUCCACCAUUUGUAUGGAUGUAUAUAGAGGUUCAAGGGAAAAGUCGACACCUUCUGUGGGAAUAAAUGGAGUGUUAACAAAAACCUUCAAAACUAUCCCUUUGGAAAUUAAAUUACCCCACUCCCCUAUUUCUCUACGCCACCAGUUUAGCCUAAUCCCAGGGUGCCCUGUUAGUCUCCUAGGGAGGGAUCUCCUUGGACUACUGGGUACAACUGUGGAUUUUUCCCCUGAGGGUGGUAUGGCAGUUUCCCUUACUGCCCCAUCCUCUGGAAUUUUUCUGCAGAUGGAUAUGGAUGAGGUACCUGCUUCUGUAUGGGCUUCAUCCAAGCUAGAUGUAGGAUACAUAAACUGUACCCCUUAUAAAGCAAAACUACGUCCUGAUGUCAGCCCAAUUUAUAUUAAACAGUAUCCCCUGUCACAGGAAAAGAAGGAUGGGAUCAGACCUAUGAUCCAGUCCUUCCUUCAACAGGGUAUACUCAGGCCUGUAGUCUCCCCCUAUAACUCCCCUAUUAACCCGGUCCCUAAGGCUACCAAGGACUACAGAUUUGUUCAAGACCUUAGGGCCAUUAACAAUUUGAUUAUUCCAAUAGCCCCAAUUGUCCCUGAUGUUAACACUCUGAUAACAGCCAUUCCUCAUGAAGCUAAGUAUUUUACAGUCAUUGACUUAAGUAAUGCAUUUUUCUCGGUCCCUGUUGACCAAGAGACACAACUACUUAUGGCUUUCACUUUUGAGGGGGUUCAGUACACCUGGACUCGCCUUCCCCAGGGCUACAUGGACUCACCAGCUGUUUAUUCACUGGUGCUCCAACAAACCCUUAAGUCAUGGACCCCUGGUCAUGGUUCCGUCCUGCUGCAGUAUGUUGAUGAUAUACUGCUGUGCAGUCCUGACUGGGAAGCCAGCACACAAGACACUGUCAGCUUAUUGAAACAUUUAGCACUGGAAGGCCACAAGGUAGCCAAGCAUAAAAUCCAAUUGGGUGCAGAGAAGGUUGACUAUCUGGGAUUUGUGUUACAACAAGGCACACGCUCCCUCAGCUCCAAACGUAUUGAAGCUCUACAAAGGAUACCCAAACCUGUUACAAAGAAGGAGUUGCUCACCUUCUUGGGUAUGAUCAAUUACUGUCGCCAGUGGAUACCUGAAUGUUCAUACUACGACUCAAUUUUGAGAAUGGCUGUAAAAGGGGACAGCCCAGAUUACAUCAGAUGGUCACCUGAAAUGGACAAUGCAUAUGUGGCACUUAAAGUAGGCAUUAUGCAGGCCCCAGCUUUAGGACUGCCUAAUUAUUGUAAACCAUUUCAUCUUUAUGCAAGGGACAACUGUAAAACCAUGGCUGCGGUCUGUGCUCAGGAACAUGGAGGUGGUAUGCGUCCUGUAGCAUUUUUCUCCAAAGUAGUCCCUGUUCCGGUUCAGAGGAUGCCGGCGUGUCUUAGGGCCCUGGCUGCUUGUGCAAUGGCUGUUGAGACUGCUACUACUAUCACUCUGGGCCAUCCCACUAUUCUCCAUACAUCACACCAAGUGUUGCAUUUGAUCAAGAAUCUCACUACACAACACAUGACAGCACAAAGAUUAAGUGGUUAUGAAAUAAUUCUCUUAAAUUCUACUAAUUUACAGAUCAAGUACGGCCCUAUUAAUUCUGGCCCUAUGAGUGUACUGCAUGCUAUCCUUACUCAUGACAACCCUAAUCUAAGCAAAACUCAGCCAGAAGAACAUGACUGUAUUCAUACUAUACAUACACAUACCUCCCCACGCUUAGACCUCAUGGAUACCCCUCAGCCAGGUUCUGAGGAUGUGUUUGUGGAUGGAUCUUGUUCCCGACCUGUUGACGGUCAGUACCAGACUGGGUAUGCAGUAGUCCAAUUACCUGAUAAGGUCCUUGAGGCUAGCUCCAUACCCCACAUGUCAGCCCAAGCUGCUGAGUUGGUUGCCCUCACACGUGCAUGCACUCUAUUCACUAACAAAGAUGUAAAUAUUUACACUGACUCACGUUACGCUCAUGGGGUUGUGCAUGAUUUUGGAAUGAUUUGGAAACAAAGAGGAUUCAUUGCAGCUGAUGGUAAAGGCAUUUCUCAUAAGACAUUAAUUGAAGACCUCUUGCAUGCUUUGCAACUUCCUCGUACAGUGUCUAUCAUUCACUGUAGAGCUCACACUCAAGGUAGGGAUGAUAUAUCCCUAGGCAAUGCACUAGCAGAUAGAAUUGCCAAAGAGGUAGCAUCUCAGACCAUUUAUUAUCGUAUGAUAUUUUCAAUUUUUAGUCCCCCUACCUGCCCAGAAGAACAGUUGUUGCAAGAACUUCAGGGUUUUGCAACCCAUGAAGAUAUUGCAUACUGGAAAAAACAAGGUUUGGAAAAAGACCAAAAUGGCCUUUAUUCCAAAGAGGGGAAGAUAGGGAUACCAGAAAGCAGUGCCCCUAUUUUUAUUUCCCAGGCACACGGAGUGGGUCACAAGGGUCUUAAGGUUACUUUGGGUCUUAUUCAACAACAUUUUGUAAUCUUGAAUCUUUCUCUCCACUGUCAGGUAUACUUACAGAGGUGUGUCCAAUGCUUACAGACCAAUACUACUGUCACACAUAAGGCUAGACAUGAACACCUCCCACCACCUACAGGCCCUUUCACCCAUUUACAGGUAGAUUUCACCCACAUCCCCAAAACAGGUAAGCGACAACAAUACUUACUGGUGAUUGUGGAUCACUUCUCAAAAUGGCCCGAGGCCUUUGUUACUAAUAAGGAGGAUGCUAGGACUGUGGUGAAAAUACUGACCACUGAAAUUAUUCCUAGGUAUGGCUGCCCAUUGCAGAUCAAUUCUGAUAAUGGCCCUGCCUUUGCUAGCAAAGUUACACAGGAACUGGCCAAAUGGUUACAGGUUACCUGGAAAUUUAAUGUACCCUACCAUCCCCAGAGUUCAGGUAUAGUAGAAAGAAUGAAUAGGACAAUUAAGGAGAAACUGAUGAAGGCCACAGAUGGCACAUGGGUUCACUGGCAAACAUACUUACCUGCUAUUUUAGCUGAAAUAAGAAUGACCCCUAGCAGGACUACUAAAUUGUCACCAUUUGAAAUACUCAUGGGAAGACCAUUUCCUACUCCUUGGGUGAAGGGACGAUUUGUUAUUAUGCCUGGUGAUUUAGACUUAAUCCAGGAAGAAUAUGUUAAACAGUUAAUUUUUAAACUCAACUCUGUAUAUGGUGAUGUUUCCGUGCAGUUUCCUCUACCCUCACAGGAACCUACACAUCCUUAUCAGCCUGGUGAUCUGGUCUGUAUCCGACAGCUGAACAAGAGCAGGAAGGGAAAGUUUCCUUUUGGUCCGCCUACCACUGUGAUUGCCGUGACCCGAACCGCUGUGCUCACCGAUUCCCAAGAUAUCUGGAUCCAUGCAUCCCGUCUGAAGCCGUGUCCAAAGAGAGGUGAAGUAGGAGACAAGCUUAAGGUCCUUACUCCGAUUGGCCCUGACGACCCAACAUCCUUAUCUGAAGUGCUAUGGCUAAAGUAAACCUAUUGGAUCCCUUGCAUGGGGCAAAGAAUUUUUUCAUCAUCCUAAUUCUCUCCAUGAUUCUCUUCCUACCGCUGAUUGUCCUUCUUGAUUGUCACUAUGAUUAUGAGAAUAUGAGAGAGUUCCAGAAGGUCUGCUUCUGGAAAGAUCACAACUCCACCAGUUACAGUGUCCAAUUAGGCCUUGAUCAUCCUACUAAUAGAACCAGACACAAAAGAUCACUACCCACAGACAAGACUUUGCAAACUUACACCAAUUGUUCUUCUAAAUCAGUAUUUUGGUGGAGCCGUGCUAAAGAGACUAGAACACAAGAGGAUUUUAUAUGUAAUGGCGGCAAAACCUGCCUUGUACUUAAUAUUACAACUAAAGGUCAAAUAUGCAUUGCUGCAAAGACUGCACAAGUAGUGGUCAAACCAUUGCAUGAUGAUUCCGUAAAUUGCUCUAUAACAAUUACUAACACUACUGGUUUUUAUACUCUUGCUUGGCUAUUUUCAGAACCUUAUCCUUUCACAAACAAAGGAGUUGGUUCAAUAUUUUAUUAUUUGCAAAAUACUAAUGUUUCCUUAGAUCAAGACAAUCCAGUUCCCCUUACUUCUAUCGCUCCUGAUAAUGUUCAUAGCAUGUAUAAUGCCACAUGGCCUAGAGGAUACGUCCGUAUCAUAUAUAAUAGAAGUAGAAUAGAGAACAGAGGUUGGUUCGCGGUUUUAUUAUAUUGUAGCCCACAUACUACACCUACUGUUCAUAAUUAUUCCCAUAUUCCAAUACCCUCAUCAUGUGUAAACACUACUAUAAUUCAGAAGGCUGUACACAUAACACUAAAUAUAUCUACACCUGAUGUACGAUUAUGUAAUCCACUACCUAAUAGAGAGAAGAGAGAAUGGUAUAAUACCCUCUUAGGGGGUACAGGAACAGCUAUGGGAAUAUUAAAUGGUGUAGACAUGGAAAUACUAAAGAAUAAGUUAUCUACGGCAGGGAAAGAAUUAGGGAUAGGAUUUCAUGUAAUGGCUAAAUGGGCCCCUACCAUGGUACAAUCACAAUGGAAGGAAUUACAAUUAGAACAAUCUAUGUACACCUAUCUGGGUAAUCUAACAUAUGCUAUUACUAACCUAACAAAAGGAAGCACUGACUGGACCUUAUGUGCCACUAGAGUUUUAUGGAUGCAUCAACAAAGGUUAAGACUAGAGAAUACUCUUAUGGUACCUAAAAUACAGAAAGUCAGAGAAAUGAUGGAAUUGACUGACAAUUAUUGGAUUAGUUUAAGGUCAAAUGAUGUAGAUUGUGAAGAAUGGGUAGAAGAUGAGAUAUCGAGUUAUUCAUGUAGGAUUGGAUUUACCUUAUAUGAAGUUGCUCCAACCCAUAUAAAACUAGCAUGUAAGUUCUUUACUUUACCUACACCUAUGUUUAAUAUACUUAAUGAUAAUCUUACUUGGUGGAAUCCAACUUUUACAGGAGAAUAUAUAUUCCCCAAGGAUAAUAAAACAUAUUCAUUAGAACACUGUGACAAGGCAGAUAAAGGUUACACAUGCAGACAUUCCUCACCCAUCUAUGAACCAUGCUUAUUAGCUAAUCAAAUAAGUAGUUGUACUUGGCAUGUAUAUCCAUCGGAUUAUUCAGUUAUGUUAGAAAUAGAACCACAAAUAGUGUGCCUAGCUACCAAACAACCUGUCAAUAUUCCCGAAGUUGAUAAACAUUUACCCUUUGUAGGAUGUAUAUCAAAUGCAACCUGGAUAAAAUGGAAAGAUCAUACUUAUUUCCUGCAACCUAUUCCUAGUAUAUACAGAUCUAAAAAAUAUAUUCCACCUGCGUUACCUAUCGUUGAUUAUCAACUUCCUACAGGAAUAAUAAUUAAUUUACUAAGAGGAAAAGGAGAUAUGUUUAAACAUUUGAAAGCACAUAAAGAUGCCUUAGUACAUACUGAAAUAUCCACCCACAUAGUUGAAAGGGAAUUAAUUAAAGUUAGUUCUAAAAUCCAGGAAAAUUUUGCUCAUCAUUGGUAUGAUGCCCUCACAGGUUGGUCCCCUACUGGCGCACAAGUUGUAAGGUCCUUUUUCUACCCUCUUGUCAUCAUUGUGAUAAUACUUGCAAUAAUGAUAUUGUUUAAUUGUUAUCUAACUUGCACACUUAAGAAACGUGUACAACAGAUGAUUACAAAAGCUGAAAAUCGACAGCUCGAUCUCCUCUUAAAGGGAAAACCUACGGCAUAGAGCAAAUGGGGGAAAUCGAGGUGAAGAAAUAAGGAAAGUCCCGCAGACGUGAUUAGCACGUCUGAAUAUACCUCCUUUCGUUUCUCUGCCGCAGGCCUCCCAUGGAUAUUCCAUAAGGUAGAUCACGAUAUGAUCUAAAGAGAGGAAUUGUAGGAUAUGAAUAUCCAUUUUGCUCUAUAUCCUAACUGUUCAUGUAAGGGUUAAUUUGAAUCAAGAAUAAAUUUGGAAUUGUAUCUCCAAUUCUCAGAAAUGUUAUUGAAGCAUGAUUUUGUCAUGUUCCUGGAAAGAAGAUAUUUGCGUGACAUGACAUGACAUGACAUGACAUGGCGUGACAUGACAUGGCGUGACAUGACAUGACAUGACAUGACAUGAUAUAAGGAUUCUGGAAUGACCUUGUUAAUUGUCCAAGAUUUCUGUAUUUGUAAUCAUCUGGGUUUUAUCCAAUAUGCAUACAUUAUGUAACAUCGAAUUAUAACUGAAAACAACUUGUGAAAAAUAAACUAUGUCACAAUGCUUAAUGACCCCCACCGACAUGAAAAUGGGGUAUAAGUAUAACUGAUGUAUCAAUUAAAAUUUGAAUUGGUUAUAGAACACAUCUCUUGUCUUCUUGACUGAUUCCCAGGAUCCUGUCUGAUAAAGAGGGUGCAGCUCCGGCAAAAUAUCCAAACUAUCCCCUACAAACCCAUCACAGGGGGCUGCUUACUUGCACUCCAAGUAAUAAAAGUUGUUAUUUGACAUUUCGUAUCUUUUUCCUUUCCCUCCAGAUCCUGGAGUAGUUUCUGUCAUACCAAUGUGUAAUUUUGUUGUAAUUUGCCUACAUUCUAUUAUUCCAGCAUGUAGGGAUACAUGGUUAAGCAAGAUAGAUAUAUCUUACACCUCAUUUACUACACCUCCUCUACUCAGCUGCUAACACUCUUUCAUGCUCUUAAAUUUCAGGUCUCCGGCCAGGCUCCCCCUCCAGUCCACCUCCAAUCAGCCGGGACACCAUCGUUCCUCCGGCUAACUCUGGUUUAAACAAACUAUUACUCCACACGCAAACACUCCCGUACCACGCACUGUCUCCCAACACCACUAUCUCUUACGCUAGGGCACUGAGUAUCUUUAACAAAUUCACAGCCGAGUUUUUCUUACAAGGUGACCUUUCCAUCAAAACCAUGGUGGCUUUUGCCUCCUUUUGCCAUUUACACCUAAAACUUUCACAUAAUAUCAUCAAACUCUACCUUACCGGAGUACAACACCACAUCCUCACUAAUUUCCCUAACCACGCUACUUUUCUUUCUUCCUACCACAUUAAGAAAAUCCUCAAAGGUAUUUUCAAGGUCACAGUCCCUCUUAGCACGACUAGGCUACCAAUAGACGGUCCAAUAUUCCGGCUCCUUAGCGACCUAUUGGACAAAUCCCUGUUUGACCAUAAUACUAAUUUAGUCAUGAAAUCUGCCAUCUUUAUGGCUUUCAACGGUUUCCUCAGACCUAGAGAUUUCACCGUGAUAUGUCAUGGAGACACAGUACGAUGCCUCAAACUUUAUCUCUUAAAGAAAGUAGAUGACCAUUUUGUACUCACGCUGCCUUCUACCAAAACUAAUCACUCUGCCUAUUCCACUAUCAUUCCCCUCUUCCCUACCAAGAAUUUGUGGGGCCCUGUACAUGUUCUGGAUAUGCUCCUGGUUUCUCACCUCACGCACUCACCAGAUACUCCACUACUUCUACUUAGUUUGACAUUAUAUAUAAGAUAUAUAUAUAUAUAUUUGUGUAAGGGGCAAAAUAGCCGUAUAUGGAGUAAGGAUCCAGCAUAAGCUUAGGAUAGUGUAAAGGGAGCAAGUCGAUACGGUAGGCCUGUAAAUAAAGAGGGCCCACCAAGGAGUAAGAAAGUAAAGUAAAUGGAAAGAAAAGAGAAAGUGUUGAAAUGAGGAGUGGGUGGGAGGGUCAUUCUGAUGCUGACCUCAAGCGAUAUGAGUCAGGUAAGGGGUGUCCCUUAUAUAGGGGAGUGAAUUAAUUUAAGCCCCUCCCACAAAUACAGGCAAAACUGCCUUAAUACUUGUGUAAGGGGCAAAAUAGCCGUAUAUGGAGUAAGGAUCCAGCAUAAGCUUAGGAUAGUGUAAAGGGAGCAAGUCGGUUGUGGUGUGCGAUACCGACGAUACGGUAGGCCUGUAAAUAAAGAGGGCAAAAAUGAAUAAUCAAAGAUUUAAUACAGUCAACAAAUAUAUACAAAUUAACCAGACAUUUCCUUAAAUGCAUUACAGUAUUUAAUUCCUGAAAGGAUUUUGAAGGUAGGAAUCUAGGACUGAAAGUGGGCACCAUUUGUUGUGGGUAGGAUAGUAUGUUAUCUCUACUGUUGGUGCAUGUUGACUCAUUUCGGAAUGUGGUAGAGCCAAUAGGUAAUGAUAUAUGUGUUUACGUACGUGGGAUCGUUGAAGACAAUGAUCUGUCUGAGUGGUGGUGAUGGUAGUGGAUUCUCUGGCCUGAGAAAGGCAUAAAAGGCAAUGUGCAUGGCUGGUAAUGGCCGACUUGGUAGUAUAAUUGAAUGGUUGUAGAUCUAAUAGGUCCGAUAAGGAUGAACAGUUGGAUGGCUAUUGGUAAUCUCUGAGAGGAACGUGGGGGAAUGGAUUCCUGAAAACCUCUGAGUAUAUUCUUUUCUGGUAUGAUAGCAUGAAGUUUAUGGUAGUUUUGGCCAUAGGUUAUCAUGUGUUGUUGAAUGCCUGUAAAAUAUAUAAUUAAUGGUGUAUGAGAUAGUUUAAGGUGGCAAAAAUAAGCAAAACUUAGGAGAAAUUUUGUGACACAGGUUGAGCUAUGUCGUGUUCCAAUGAGAUAGUUUAAGCCAGAUGAAAAGCUGCGUUAUGCGUUCUACAAGUAUGGGACGAAAGUGCUAGGUGGGAUAGUGCAUGCUAUGCUGCAUGAGUAUGUCUAAUCCAUGAUUUUGUCUCUGGAACGAAAGAGUGGACGUGACUGUAUGGGCGGCUGUAGGAAGCGUAUGAUGAACAUGCCUAGAAUAUAAAUGAGACAGUUGUCGGCAGGGAUGUAUACCCCCGUCUGGUACAUGAGAGUGAAAUGUGAUAAGUGGCCAACCAAGUGAGUUCCCCAGAAACAUCAUGAACUUAUGGAUGAGUAGUGGCGUUUGUUGAUGAUAUGAUAUGUGCUUAGUUGUCUGAGUAACAACGGAUUGAUGACCCUGACCAUGAUUUACCCCAUGCCACAGCAGCUGCUACAAUGGGGUAGAUCUCCCAAAGGGGCUGAAGUGGUGGAAAAAUUUCCAAACCUGGAUGCCAUGGCCAACAGCCCCAAAGCAAUUGUUCCCGGUAGAUUGCUGCCAAACCCGUGGUAUACGCUGCGUCUGACCAUCUGGUUGGAGAAGUGUCCCUUAUAUAGGGGAGUGAAUUAAUUUAAGCCCCUCCCACAAAUACAGGCAAAACUGCCUUAAUACAUAUAUAUAUAUAUAUAUAUAUAUAUAAUUAAUUAUUAUUAUUAUUAUUUUUAUUUUAUUUUAUUUUUACUCUGACUGAUUUGCUAUAACUUUUUUUAAAUCUUUUUUUUUUACCAGCAGGGGGACUGCCUGUGAGUUCAGGCAGUACCCCUGCAGGCAGAUUCACGGACACCUAUAGAGUGAUCACAGGCCCGCGGGGGCCUAAUUCGCCAAGGGGGGACUGUCUUGGCUGUCAGGCAGUCCCCCCAGACCGGGAACAAUGCCAAUCCCCAGCGGGGGAAUGGCAGUGAUUGGGUAAGUAUAUAUUUCCAUUAUAACAGUUCAGGACCAUCAUCGGUCCACAAGGGGAUGUUUCAGAUGAUGGUCCUGAACCGUCAUCGGUCCUCAAGGGGUUAAAUCAAGUCAUCUGGACCAAGUAGAAUACACCCAUGGAAGAUUAUCAAUGCAUAGUAUUCAAAGAUUAAUAGACAUAUUAGAUACUGUCCAGAAAGGAAAGAUUAUUGUCCUGAGAUCCUGUCACCAGAUGCUGAGAAGGCAUUCAACAGGGCCAGGUGAGGUUAUCGUAGAUAGACCUUAUAUAAUUUGGCAUAUGAGUUUUUUUGUUGUUGUUUUUUUUAGAUAUGGCCUUAUAUUCCCAUUCAAUGGCAAGAUUGGUGUGAAAUGGGUUCAGCUCUGGAUGGUUCGGUCUUGGGAAUGGCACCAAUUAUGGCUGCCCAUUCUCCCCACUACUCUAUGUAAUUACUCUAGUAUAAACAAUUAUAAACAAUAGGAUGAAAUGUUUGGAACUCCAUGAAUCAGCUCUAAUAUCAAUUUGUAUGCUGAUAAUUUAAUACUAACUUUGCAGGGUCCAAUACAAUCUAUGAUAGAGGUGGUGACUGUAGAUGGGGAAUUUUUAAAAGUAUCAGGUUAUAAGGUAAAUCUUUAUAGGUCCUUAGCUUUAGCAUUUAAUAUUCUAGCAAAAGAUAAGAAUAAAAAAGAACUAGAUAAGAUUCAUGGCUUAAAGUGGGCCUGCAGGUUCAAUAAAUUACUUAGGACUUGAAAUAAGUAUGGAUAUUAAAAAAAGUAUUGAAUUAAAUUUCCUACCUUUAUUAAAACAAACUAUAAACAAUUGAAUGAAUGGAAAAAUAUUCAGAUUACUUAAUGUGGUACUAUUAACAUCAUAAAAGCAUAUAUUCUUCCUAGACGGACUUAUCUCUUUAGAUUGAUUCCUAAUAACGUCCCGGGUAGUUGGCUUGCAAUGAUAUAGACAGGUUUCAGGAAAUGUAUUUGGUUAUGAAAAUCAUCUAGAGUGAAAAUGAGGAACCAUUAUGCUAAAGCCAUCACAGGGUGGAGUAUGUACUGUCCUUACCUCAUCUGAUAUUGUAUUUUAUUGCCAUCAGGAGAAGAGGUGUUUAAUAAAGUACUGCCUUUAAGGAAGCAAUUUAUGCACAUUUAUAUAUAUUUUUCUGUUUUUAUUUGCUAUCACAUGUUUUUAUUUAGUUUGUUGAGCUUGGGCUUCCCUGAUAAGCCUUUGUGUUCAAGAAGAAUGGACCAACUAAUAUUGCAAUCACUAGACACAGCUCAAUGGCAAAACUUUGAGGAAUUAAUUGAACAUAUAGCAGGUGACACAUGUUACUUAGGUGCUACAUAUUACUUGGGUAUCAGCAGUGUGUGGCUCCUGUCACUGCUGGUACACUCUGCCCCUGUGUGUGCCUCCUGACUCUGGUCAUACUGUUGGCACAAUAUGCUCACUGUUUUAUUUCCUGUUCCUGUCACAGUUUGCCCACUCCCAAUCCAAACUGCUGACAUAGCAGAUAUUCAGAGAGAAUCUUUCCAUAUAUUUCCUUAACUAAAUCCUUCAUGGCUACUACACUGUCUUCCCUGUGUGUGUUUUCUUGUAAUGACACCAAUCUGGCUUGUGAAUGCCUUCUUUCACUGAUGGCACAGAGUGUCUGUAUAGAUCUGGGCAUGUAUAUGUGGAUGAGUAAGUCUCACUAUGAGUGUGUGUAAAUGUGUCUUUUUGAGUGUGUUUAUCAAUGUGCCCUUAGUUCUUUGUCUAUAUUGCUGUCUGUGUGUGUUUACAUGACUUUGUAUAAAUGUGUGUAUAUCUGCCUGUAUGACUGUGUGUAUAUGACUUUGUGGGGAAUAUUUAAAUGUUUUUAAAAGUAGCAGUUUGAAUAAUAUGUUUUGUCACUGAAAAUGGCAUAUAUUUAAAAAAUAUAAAUAAUGCACAACAGAUAAGUAAACCAGAUUACUCAGUUAAAAAAUUUUUUUAUUACAAACACACAACCCCCACACAUACUCACCGCCAGCCAAACAAAAUAAGCCAAGCCCCACAAUAACAUUUAGCUAAUCCAUACAGGCAAUCACACUCACAUUCACAAUCACACUCACAAUCACAAUCACACUCAAAGCACAUUUAGCUAACCACGUACAUCUCACAAACAUCAACCUUCACACUCAAACACAGCGGAACUCUGUGAUACAUUCAAUAAUUAAUGUAUACUAUGAGGGAAACUGUCCAUGGGACACCAACCAAGGUAAAUACAGCCAUGAUAAGUUGACAAAUAAAAGUAGCAGUGAAAAGUGGCAUUCACUUCGCAAAACCAGAAGAGGGCAAUGAAACACAGCCAGGAAAAUGACUGGAAUGCUGCCAGAGAAGGCAGAGAAGGGCACUUGGAGAAAGGUGAUACCCCUGUCUGGAACAUUUGACUAGUGUUUAAUUGUGUGUUGGAGGAUUGAGUGUGACAGUGUGGGUAUGUUUGUGGAGUGGGUGAGAGUAACAGGGUGUUUGUAGACUGUGUGUUUCUGCGGGAGUUGGGAAAGUGUGAUUCUACAUGUGGGGUGGCUGAGUCUCUCUGUAUACUGAGUGACAUACACAAGGCUCUGUAGUGUGAAUCCCUCUGCAUACUGUUAACACACACAAUGCUCUGCACAGUGAGUCUCUCUUUAUACUGAGUGACAUACCCUACUCUGCACAGUGAAUCAUACUGACUCAGUACACGGGAUUCACUGCGCACAGCAUUGUAUGUCACUCGGUAUAUAGAGGGAUGUGUGCAAAAUUUUUGCUUGCUGGUUUAAAAAAAACUCUGUCAAUCGAUGCAUGUCCCUUUAAAGUAACACCUCUUGCAACUAGCAAUAACGACCACAAGAUGGCAACCAUUUUCUAUAAAUAUUUUCAAACAACAGCAUAUACAAUAUUAGUUUUAAUAAAUGGAUAUGAGUGUAAGUGUACUACAUGAACCUGACAUUAUAUACUCAAUAUAUGUAAUACCUUAACACUCUACAUCUUAAUUGUAAUUUUAGAAAAAACAAAUACAUUGAAUAUCAACCAGUCAACUGAAGAAGUAUUUCAGAGCCCUGCAACCAUCAACUGCAGCUUCACUGAGCCACAAGACAAAGAUCCAGUGUGGGUGGGAAUUUACUGGGUGGUUGGAGAAUCACGAGAUGUAUUUGCCUAUCACCCAGACCCUGCCAUGAUUCACAAGAAUUACAUAGGAAAAACACGGCUUGUGGGGAAGGCAAAUCUCCUUCUAGAAGACUUCCAGG